rnacentral:rRNA from 1 species
UACAGAGGCCUCGAGCGUUAGGCGGAAUCACUGGGCUUAAAGCGUUUGUAGGCGGAUUGGUAAGUACCUUGUGAAAUCCCACAGCUUAACUGUGGAACUGCUCGGUAUACUGCUGAUCUUGAGCCACUCAGGGGCUACCGGAACAAAUGGUGGAGCGGUGAAAUGCGUAGAUAUCAUUUGGAACGCCAAUGGUGAAAACAGGUAGCUGGGGGUGUGCUGACGCUGAGACACGAAAGCCAGGGGAGCAAACGGG